rnacentral:rRNA from 1 species
AUACGGAGGGUGCAAGCGUUAUCCGGAUUCACUGGGUUUAAAGGGUGCGUAGGUGGGUAUGUAAGUCAGAGGUGAAAUCCCCGAGCUUAACUUGGGAACUGCCUUUGAUACUAUAUAUCUUGAAUGUCGUAGAGGUCAGCGGAAUAUGUCAUGUAGCGGUGAAAUGCUUAGAUAUGACAUAGAACACCAAUUGCGAAGGCAGCUGGCUAUGCGAUAAUUGACGCUGAGGCACGAAAGCGUGGGUAGC